rnacentral:rRNA from 1 species
GAUGAACGCUAGCGAUAGGCCUAACACAUGCAAGUCGAGGGGCAGCAUAGAGUAGCAAUACCUUGAUGGCGACCGGCGCACGGGUGAGUAACACGUAUGCAACCUACCUACAUCAGGGGAAUAACCCGGAGAAAUUCGGACUAAUACCGCAUAGUACAGGGAUGCCGCAUGGCAAUAUUUGUUAAAGAUUUAUCGGACGUAGAUGGGCAUGCGUUCCAUUAGCUAGUUGAUAAGGUAACGGCUUACCAAGGCAACGAUGGAUAGGGGAACUGAGAGGUUUGUCCCCCAACCUGGAACUGAGACACGGACCAGACUCCUACGGGAGGCAGCAGUGAGGAAUAUGGUCAAUGGACGAGAGUCUGAACCAGCCAAAUCGCGUGAAGGAAGACUGCCCUACGGGUUGUAAACUUCUUUUGUACAGGAAUAAAAGACAUUACGUGUAAUGUAUUGCAUGUACUGUACGAAUAAGCAUCGGCUAACUCCGUGCCAGCAGCCGCGGUAA